UUGAACGCUGGCGGCAUGCCUUACACAUGCAAGUCGAACGGUAACGCGGGGCAACCUGGCGACGAGUGGCGAACGGGUGAGUAAUGCAUCGGAACGUGCCCAGUUGUGGGGGAUAACUGCUCGAAAGAGCAGCUAAUACCGCAUACGACCUGAGGGUGAAAGCGGGGGAUCGCAAGACCUCGCGCAAUUGGAGCGGCCGAUGUCGGAUUAGCUAGUUGGUGGGGUAAAGGCCCACCAAGGCAACGAUCCGUAGCUGGUCUGAGAGGACGACCAGCCACACUGGGACUGAGACACGGCCCAGACUCCUACGGGAGGCAGCAGUGGGGAAUUUUGGACAAUGGACGCAAGUCUGAUCCAGCAAUGCCGCGUGCGGGAAGAAGGCCUUCGGGUUGUAAACCGCUUUUGUCAGGGAAGAAAUCUUCUGGGUUAAUACCUCGGGAGGAUGACGGUACCUGAAGAAUAAGCACCGGCUAACUACGU
rnacentral:rRNA from 1 species